AGAGAGAGAGAGGGGGUGAGACAGACAGAGAGCGAGAGGGGGUGAGAUACAGAGAGAGGGGGGGUGAGACAGACAGAGAGCGAGAGGGGGGGUGAGAUACAGAGAGAGGGGGUGAGACAGACAGAGAGCGAGAGAGGGGGUGAGAUACAGAGAGAGGGGGGUGAGACAGACAGAGCGCGAGAGGGGGUGAGAUACUGAGAGAGGGGGUGAGACAGACAGAGAGAGGGGGUGAGAUACAGAGAAAGGGGGGAUGAGACAGACAGAGAGCGAGAGGGGAUGAGAUACAGAGAGCGAGAGAGGGGGUGAGAUACAGAGAGAGAGAGGGGGUGAGAUACAGAGAGAGAGGGGGGGGUGAGAUACAGAGAGAGGGGGUGAGACAGACAGAGAGCGAGAGGGGGUGAGAUACAGAGAGAGGGG
ensembl:lncRNA